UACUGAUGUAGUGGCGGGGAGGAAGAGGUCGACCUUGAACAUCAGCUAUCGACGUUGGCAACUCUAUGCCGGUCAAGAUAAUACGCGGCGACUUCAACUCAUACAUAACAACUAAUAAAUUCGAUUUUUUGUUUUUGGUCGGAAGAUUUUCGUAGAACAUAAUAUUUUUGGUUUAAUACUGUUGGUUCACGGAGUUCAAAAUCGACCCAUUCGUUGCGAUGCCGCUUAAAUGUUAUUUUUCAAGCCCCUAUACAAUUUAUAAUAGUAAAAUGUCAGAGUCGUAAUUGUAUCGUAUUUGAUGAACAGAUUUUUGCCGGGCUACGACGUGUUCCCUUGCUGGACUCUGGACAAAGUAUAUAGAUAGAUCCAAUUUGCUACCGCAGGCAUUCAACGAUUAAUGAUGACGAUUAAAGCCAGGUGUGCGUUAUUAUUAUUUUCUUAGCAACAUAUUUUAUGAAAUUACAAAUUAUCAAAUAGCAUACAUAAAUACCAACUCCAAAAUAAAUAUGAUAUAUAUUCUUAAUUUGUCUUUUAUUUAUUGUAAAAUCGUUUUUAUUCUUUAGAAAACAAAAUAUAUUUUUAUUUUAAAUAAAAUUUAACAGUAGAUAGUCCUACCUACCUAUCUACUUAACAUAUAUAUUUGAUGUAUUUUAAUAUACCUACCUAUAAUAUUCAAUGUGAACGAUAUGAUAUUAUAUUUUUUUUUAAUAAUAUAUCAUAUUAAUUUUAUACUACUAAGUACUUGAUUUUCUUCACUGGCGAAGUUUACAUGAACUCAAUUUUACCUGAUUUUUCUUAGUGACGGGGUUUACAUGAACUUAAUUUUACCUGUUUUUUUUUCUGGCGGAGUUAACAGUAAAAAGGUACUUGCGCCCAUAAUAUAUGUAUUAAAUUUGAAUUCAAUAGUCAAUAAUUUUAUAGAUACUAUUUAAAACAAUUCUAAGAGGAAACCAUAAGAAAUUUAUCAUCAUAUAUUUCUAAGAGUAGGUACAUAAUAAUUAUUCAUUAUAUUAUAUUAAGUCUGUAUAUUGUUAUUGAUAUUAAACCAAAUAAUUAUAUAAUAUAUAUAUAUAUAUAUAUAUAAUAUAAUAUAUGAUUUGUUGCCAUCUAUAAUUCAUUAACUCAAAAAUUUUACAUGUUGAUAUUUACUUAGAUUGUUCUUUAGUCUUUCAUUUUUUGUCAUUGUUAUUUUUUAUUCUUUCCUUGUUAAAUUAUUAAUUAUCUAUUAUUAAAAAUUGUACUUUAUUAAUGCCCCUGAGGCGUCGAUUUAUAAUAUAUAAUAAUAAUAUUAUAAUAUUUAUAAUAUAUGUAUAAAUAAUAAUUUUGUUCAAAAUUACUAGCUAACACAAUAGGUAGGUACACAAUUAUUAAUCUUUAUAAAUUAUAACUAUAAACUAAUAGUUUUUAAUAUUUAUUUUAUUUUUAAUAACAUUUUUAUAGUACUUAUGAAGUACUCAUAAUUAUUAACAAAAAUAAGAAAAAAAAACUACAUACAUUUUUUUUUUUUGUUUUUCUUGACUAUUUUUAAAUAAGGAAUAUGUCUAUUUUUAACUCUUUGAAGUACAACUUCGAUUCAAUU